UUACAAUAACUUUGUUACAUUUUUUAUUUUAUCUGAUACCCCUUUUUUUUUUUUACCGAAAGCCCAUCUUUUCAUUUCCCUCACACCCUCUCCUCUUUAGUUUGCCACUUACCUCUUGACUCCUCUCCUCUGACUGCUCAUAGUUGAAAACCACCAACCACCAGCUACAAAUCAACUCCUCACAAGCUUAUCGACUUUCCACAGAUCUCUUACCUUUCGACUUCUCUAACCCUCAAAAUUGGCAACCACUAACUCAGUAGCAAGUCACAAUAUCUCUGCUUUCUUCCUUCAUGGCUCCACCAAAAGUCUGACACUAGUGAUCACCAUCAGUCAAAAGAUUCUCAUCUUCAAGGUGUAUGUUAGACGCUCUUUAUAUCAAACACUUUUGUUGAGAGGCACAGGAGUGAGGUAUCAGCCUUUUAUUAGCAAAGACAAAAUGUGAGAAAUAAGGAUUGAAAGUAUCUUUUAACCAUUUCUUGGUCUUUUUUGGUUCUUUGUUGAUUGGGUGGUAAGCUCAAGUGUGGGGACAAGAUCAUGAAUGAUAAUAUGAGGAUGAAGAUUUUUCGAAAAGCCCAAUUGAUGGCUUGGUUGACAAAGAUAUGGGCUUUGAAAGAUAUUGGCACUACAAUAAUUAAGAUUUUUAGUGACGAUUUUAUUGUGACAUUAAGCUAUUUUGUCACAAAUAUUAAAUUUUUUGUGAUGAAAUUUUUCUAUGACACUAUUGUAAUAAUUAAUUGUGACGUAUUGUUAUUCAGUUACUAAUAUAAUAGUUAUUGUGACGGUUUAAAUUUUUUUACAAUUAAAUUGUCACUAUAAGGAUGUUUUUGUGACACAAUUUUUUGUCAUUAUAGAAUCGUCACUAAUAAAGUGGACAAAUUGAUAGCAAGUAAUGUAAUAGUAACGACAUAUAAAAUGGUCACUACUAUUAAACAUUAUUAUGAUGAAGAG